AGUUUGAUCAUGGCUCAGGAUGAACGCUGGCGGCGUGCCUAAUACAUGCAAGUCGAGCGAACAGACGAGGAGCUUGCUCCUUUGACGUUAGCGGCGGACGGGUGAGUAACACGUGGGUAACCUACCUAUAAGACUGGGAUAACUUCGGGAAACCGGAGCUAAUACCGGAUAAUAUUUCGAACUGCAUGGUUCGAUAGUGAAAGAUGGCUUUGCUAUCACUUAUAGAUGGACCUGCGCCGUAUUAGCUAGUUGGUAAGGUAACGGCUUUACCAAGGCAACGAUACGUAGCCGACCUGAGAGGGUGAUCGGCCACACUGGAACUGAGACACGGUCCAGACUCCUACGGGAGGCAGCAGUAGGGAAUCUUCCGCAAUGGGCGAAAGCCUGACGGAGCAACGCCGCGUGAGUGAUGAAGGUCUUCGGAUCGUAAAACUCUGUUAUUAGGGAAGAACAAACGUGUAAGUAACUGUGCACGUCUUGACGGUACCUAAUCAGAAAGCCACGGCUAACUCCGUG
rnacentral:rRNA from 1 species